rnacentral:rRNA from 1 species
UUAAUGAGAGUUUGAUCCUGGCUCAGGACGAACGCUGGCGGCGUGCCUAAUACAUGCAAGUAGAACGCUGAAGAGAGGAGCUUGCUCUUCUUGGAUGAGUUGCGAACGGGUGAGUAACGCGUAGGUAACCUGCCUUGUAGCGGGGGAUAACUAUUGGAAACGAUAGCUAAUACCGCAUAACAAUGGAUGACACAUGUCAUUUAUUUGAAAGGGGCAAUUGCUCCACUACAAGAUGGACCUGCGUUGUAUUAGCUAGUAGGUGAGGUAACGGCUCACCUAGGCGACGAUACAUAGCCGACCUGAGAGGGUGAUCGGCCACACUGGGACUGAGACACGGCCCAGACUCCUACGGGAGGCAGCAGUAGGGAAUCUUCGGCAAUGGGGGCAACCCUGACCGAGCAACGCCGCGUGAGUGAAGAAGGUUUCGGAUCGUAAAGCUCUGUUGUAAGUCAAGAACGAGUGUGAGAGUGGAAAGUUCACACUGUGACGGUAGCUUACCAGAAAGGGACGGCAACUACGUGCCAGCAGCCGCGGUAAUACGUAGGUCCCGAGCGUUGUCCGGAUUUAUUGGGCGUAAAGCGAGCGCAGGCGGUUUGAUAAGUCUGAAGUUAAAGGCUGUGGCUCAACCAUAGUUCGCUUUGGAAACUGUCAAACUUGAGUGCAGAAGGGGAGAGUGGAAUUCCAUGUGUAGCGGUGAAAUGCGUAGAUAUAUGGAGGAACACCGGUGGCGAAAGCGGCUCUCUGGUCUGUAACUGACGCUGAGGCUCGAAAGCGUGGGGAGCGAACAGGAUUAGAUACCCUGGUAGUCCACGCCGUAAACGAUGAGUGCUAGGUGUUGGAUCCUUUCCGGGAUUCAGUGCCGCAGCUAACGCAUUAAGCACUCCGCCUGGGGAGUACGACCGCAAGGUUGAAACUCAAAGGAAUUGACGGGGGCCCGCACAAGCGGUGGAGCAUGUGGUUUAAUUCGAAGCAACGCGAAGAACCUUACCAGGUCUUGACAUCCCGAUGCUAUUUCUAGAGAUAGAAAGUUACUUCGGUACAUCGGUGACAGGUGGUGCAUGGUUGUCGUCAGCUCGUGUCGUGAGAUGUUGGGUUAAGUCCCGCAACGAGCGCAACCCCUAUUGUUAGUUGCCAUCAUUCAGUUGGGCACUCUAGCGAGACUGCCGGUAAUAAACCGGAGGAAGGUGGGGAUGACGUCAAAUCAUCAUGCCCCUUAUGACCUGGGCUACACACGUGCUACAAUGGUUGGUACAACGAGUUGCGAGUCGGUGACGGCAAGCUAAUCUCUUAAAGCCAAUCUCAGUUCGGAUUGUAGGCUGCAACUCGCCUACAUGAAGUCGGAAUCGCUAGUAAUCGCGGAUCAGCACGCCGCGGUGAAUACGUUCCCGGGCCUUGUACACACCGCCCGUCACACCACGAGAGUUUGUAACACCCGAAGUCGGUGAGGUAACCUUUUGGAGCCAGCCGCCUAAGGUGGGAUAGAUGAUUGGGGUGAAGUCGUAACAAGGUAGCCGUAUCGGAAGGUGCGGCUGGAUCACCUCCUUUCUAAGGAA